rnacentral:tRNA from 1 species
GGGCGGUUAGCUCAGCGGGAGAGCGCUGCCUUGACACGGCAGAGGUCACUGGUUCAAUCCCAGUACCGCCCACCA